rnacentral:lncRNA from 1 species
AAAGGCAAAUCUUUGUAGCAGGCUAUCAGUUCCUUGUUAGUGUGCAAGUCAGGCUGAAUGGUUUCCCAGACCUUUUUCUUAGGGUUAAGAACGUCAUCAGGGUCGCCUUCAAAGCCAGAAAAGGUCAAUCUUUCUCCAACAGGUGCAGAUUGUGGUGGAUCAACCAAUUCAACCUGAACACCAGAAUCAUAAUAUCGUUAUAAAGUCAAGUAAUACAUGGAUCCCCUCAGGCUCCAGGACUGAUGCCCAAUAGUAUAAAAUAACAAUUAUUCCAAAUACAUUUAUCCAAUGAUAGUAAGCCCCUCGUAAGCUAUACAGCAGUAAUGGAGUGAAACAUCAAAUUAAAUUGUAGUAAAUUGUUUACACAAAUAACGAAGAAACAAAAUUUGAUAGAAAUUUGAAGUCCAUUCUACAAAAUGAUUCUCGAAUUUCGAUUUAGGGAUCUACUUUUUCCAGAUUCAAUGGCAAUGACAGACUUUCCAGCAAAGAAGUGAUGUAAAAAUAUGAAAUCAAAUUUCACAGGAGCAACAUCCUAUAGGCUAUAUUCAUAAUGCAUAAAAGGACACUUUGUGUGAAUAUAAAUAGGAGUAUAUAAUGAACUGAAUACAUAAACAGAACAGAAAUUACCUUAGAGUGAUCAGCAUUUGAAACAGCAAGAACCAUAGCAUGUGACUUGAUACCCCUCAUGGUUGCAGGCUUCAAAUUGCAAAGAACACAUACCUUACGGUUCUGGCAAAAAACAGUCAUCUCAAAUAAGAUUCAAACGACAAAUAUCAUAAAUUAGAUAAUGAAUUGAGUGAUAUAUAUAAUAUACAAGCAUGUCCGGGUGUGGAUGUACAAAUAUCAAUGUGCACGGAUAAGAGAAGGUUGGAGAAUAAACCUGCAUUUCUUCAAGAGGAAUAAAUUUAACAAGUCCGCUCACAACUGUUCGAGGUUGACCCUCGCCCACAUCAAUUUCUUCAACAUAUAAGGAAUCGGCAUCAGGAUGCUUCUGAACCUUUGUGAUGAGACCAACACGGAUAUCAAGCCUACUUAUGGAGAUUUCUUGUUCAGCUGCCUUGGGUUUAUUUUCGGAAGCAGAUUUUUUGGUUCGUUCUUUUUUUACAUUUCCAUCUGUGAAAAUUGUAGAAAAGAGUUAUCAUAGUGUAUAUUUAUGUGGGUGUGUGUUGGUGCAACACUAACAGACAUUUAGCUAUAAUAACCAAGAAUAUUGCAGUGAAAGAAUAAAUAUACCAAAUGAAGCAUAAUGCUCUGAAGAAGACUGUAUAAGGAUUAGAGCAAUUACAAUAAAAGGUUUGCAAAUAAAAAAAAGUAAAACAGAGGAUCUANAUAUUGUGCUAUAAUCCUAUUAACUCUGCGACAUUUUUUUAAGAAUCCGCACAAAAUCAAAAUCACAUACAAUCCAUGAAAAUCCAUGGACUAUAAACAAUCCAUUAAAAUCCCAAUCGAAUACACCCCCGUAAAUAUUAUUAUCAAGAAAAUGUCUAAGAUAUUAUUUUAUAAUUUUAAAUACUAGAUCGUGUUCAUACUUUUUUACUUUAUAAUUCAAGAUCAUGUCAAAUUAAGUUUUUCCAAAACGUGUAUUGUUUUGAACCCCUGCACAUUAUUUCAUGUGGUGUUUAAUUCUAAAACGUCAAAUGAUAUUAUAUUUUAUAAUGAAUUUUAGACCUUAACACAAUAUGUAUUGAUGUAACAUCCUCUGAAUAAGAAUUAAAAUGUUGAAUUUCACCGUUAACAAGUGAUAUUUUGAGUCAUUUUUCUUAUGAUCUUAUCGUGUUGAUGAAUCAAGUGAGAUCAAGCAACAGACUUGCAAAGUUAUAAAGCAGUGGCAUCUGACUAAGUUCAGCGAAUAAACCGGGUACCAGUGAGCUAAAUGUCAAUAACAAGAAGUCAAAAAAUAUAACCAGCUGAUAUAAUGAUUUCUGAAGUCUGGUAACUCAUAUUAGCUCUAUUAAAAAUUUCACAAGCACAAAAGAUAACAUACAAAAUUCAAAUGUGCACAAUUCUUAUAAAGCAUUAGACAAUUUACAGAUGACAAAAUCAUCUGAAAAAUGUUGCUGGUAACAAUAUAGUAUAGGGCAACCCCGAUCAGAAAAUCUUAACUUUGCUAAAACAUUCGGGCCAAGAUGCUCCAGCUUUUCUGUAGACAUAUCUAUCGUAUUGAUCCAUCAGAUAUUGACGAGACCUUGCAAACUCCGACUGAUGUAGUGAAAGGCAAAUCUUUGUAGCAGGCUAUCAGUUCCUUGUUAGUGUGCAAGUCAGGCUGAAUGGUUUCCCAGACCUUUUUCUUAGGGUUAAGAACGUCAUCAGGGUCGCCUUCAAAGCCAGAAAAGGUCAAUCUUUCUCCAACAGGUGCAGAUUGUGGUGGAUCAACCAAUUCAACCUGAACACCAGAAUCAUAAUAUCGUUAUAAAGUCAAGUAAUACAUGGAUCCCCUCAGGCUCCAGGACUGAUGCCCAAUAGUAUAAAAUAACAAUUAUUCCAAAUACAUUUAUCCAAUGAUAGUAAGCCCCUCGUAAGCUAUACAGCAGUAAUGGAGUGAAACAUCAAAU